UACGUAGGGGGCAAGCGUUGUCCGGAUUUAUUGGGCGUAAAGAGCGUGUAGGCGGCCUGAAAGGUCAGCUGUGAAAACUCGAGGCUCAACCUCGAGACGUCGGUUGAAACCAUCUGGCUAGAGUCCGGAAGAGGAGAGUGGAAGUUCCCGGUGUAGCGGUGAAAUGCGCAGAUAUCGGGAAGAACACCCGUGGCGAAGGCGGCUCUCUGGGACGGUACUGACGCUGAGACGCGAAAGCGU
rnacentral:rRNA from 1 species